rnacentral:rRNA from 1 species
GAUGAACGCUGGCGGCGUGCCUAAUACAUGCAAGUCGAGCGAACAGACGAGGAGCUUGCUCCUCUGACGUUAGCGGCGGACGGGUGAGUAACACGUGGAUAACCUACCUAUAAGACUGGGAUAACUUCGGGAAACCGGAGCUAAUACCGGAUAAUAUAUUGAACCGCAUGGUUCAAUAGUGAAAGACGGUUUUGCUGUCACUUAUAGAUGGAUCCGCGCCGCAUUAGCUAGUUGGUAAGGUAACGGCUUACCAAGGCAACGAUGCGUAGCCGACCUGAGAGGGUGAUCGGCCACACUGGAACUGAGACACGGUCCAGACUCCUACGGGAGGCAGCAGUAGGGAAUCUUCCGCAAAGGGCGAAAGCCUGACGGAGCAACGCCGCGUGAGUGAUGAAGGUCUUCGGAUCGUAAAACUCUGUUAUUAGGGAAGAACAAAUGUGUAAGUAACUAUGCACGUCUUGACGGUACCUAAUCAGAAAGCCCCGGCUAACUACGUG